rnacentral:rRNA from 1 species
UGGUGGAGUGAUUUGUCUGGCUAAUUCCGUUAACGAACGAGACCUUAACCUGCUAAAUAGUUACGCAUAACUUCGGUUAGGCGGGCAACUUCUUAGAGGGACUUUGUGUGUCUAACGCAAGGAAGUUUGAGGCAAUAACA